GAUGAAGAACGCAGCAAAAUGCGAUAAGUAAUGUGAAUUGCAGAAUUCAGUGAAUCAUCGAAUCUUUGAACGCACAUUGCGCCCGCCAGUAUUCUGGCGGGCAUGCCUGUUCGAGCGUCAUUUCAACCCUCAAGCACAGCUUGGUGUUGGGACUCGCGUUAAUUCGCGUUCCCCAAAUUGAUUGGCGGUCACGUCGAGCUUCCAUAGCGUAGUAGGAAAACCCUCGUUACUGGUAAUCGUCGCGGCCACGCCGUUAAACCCCAACUUCUGAAUGUUGACCUCGGAUCAGGUAGGAAUACCCGCUGAACUUAAGCAUAUCAAUAAGCGGAGGA
rnacentral:misc_RNA from 1 species